GCCCUGGGCCAGGAGUACGCCACAUUGCACUGCAGAUCAGUGGUUCAUCUGAGCCUCCUGGGUCUACUUUCUUAUUCCUCGUAAAGCUUUCUGAAGAGAGCUUUGUAAUCUCAUUAUGACAAGGUUUCCCACGUGGCUGGGAAGGUAGCCUCAUGGAACAUGAAGGAGGACCUGGAGAUAUUGAUGUCUUUGGAAUGAGCAGAGAUAAUAGCCAAAUACAAUCAGCAAAAACACCAAGAGCUUGGAUGAGUGAGUGGACAAGUAGGUGAAGACGUUGAGGAAGUGGAAUAAAUACCAUGGCAGUGGUGAGUUAGAGACCUGAACACUUGGCAGGUGGCAUGCUGUCCUGACCUCAAAGGAUGAUGGGCCUGGGUCCCCAGGGCAGCCCGCAGCCACCCGCCCACACCACGAGGGUCACCUCACCUGGAGAGGAUCUGAGGCCAGAGCCAGGGCCACCUCAGGCCCAGGGCCCCGUAGGGAGGGAUAAGCGGGGACCAUUGUCCACAACGUCCCUUGCAGCCUCGUCCACUCCUAGUUGUGGGAGACGGGGCCCAGUUCUAGGCAGACCCAACCUCUCCUGAGAAACCAUGGAGCCAAAUGCUAGAAUCUUCCAGAUGCCUCGUGCUCCAUCUCCUCUAUGGUGUCACCCUGUGGCCUGUUUCACCAGAGCUGCUUCUUUCCCGUAGAUGCAUCGAUGGAUCUAUAAAGGGAUCCCCCCACAGGUGCGGGGUCAGUGUGGUCUCUUCUGUUGGCUAUUGAGAAAGUGGAGGUGGAGAAUGAAGGAAUAUAUGAGGUAUGACCCUUCUAUACUCGGCACAGGCAGUGCUAACAGGCCAGGCCUUGUCAGGAGCUUAUGGGGAGCCUGGCGG